GUACUUUUUAAGUGUAAGACAUUUCUCAAUAAUUCAUCCUCUUAUGAUUUUUUUUUUCCUUCCCGGAAAAUACAUUUUAAGUUGGUCAAAAUAGUUCAAAUUAUUCGCGUUGGACACUUGAAAAGAUUGAAAAAGUGAACUUACUUAAUACAAAACGUAAAGGUUCGGCAGUUUUUCGAUAUUCCAAUUUUAUCGCAAAUACGGCUUUAACGAUAUAGGUAUACGGAUCCCAAUUCACUCUAAUAAUAAAUCCAACGGCAUAAACUCGGUCCGGCAGAACGGAAAUUCGCUUGCGCUGGAAAGACGGCGCCUGCACCGUGCGGUUAUCACGUCCUAUUUGUAUCAAUACUAUAGUAAGAUAACGCAUUAUUGUCAAUAACAUCG